UACGGGGGGGGCAAGCGUUGUUCGGAAUUACUGGGCGUAAAGGGCUUGUAGGUGGCCAACUAAGUCUGAUGUGAAAGCCCGGGGCUCACCCCCGGAAGGGCAUUGGAAACUGACGGACUCGAGUCCCGAAGAGGAGGGUGGAAUUCCUGGUGUAGCGGUGAAAUGCGUAGAUAUCAGGAGGAACACCGGUGGCGAAGGCGGCCCUCUGGACGGUGACUGACGCUGAGACGCGAAAGCGUGGGGAGCAAACAGG
rnacentral:rRNA from 1 species